rnacentral:lncRNA from 1 species
CGGGAGCUGGUCUUCUACACUCCUGCUGCUAGGAUGCCAUGUGUUACUAGAGAGAGGAUCUAUUACCAUUGCAUAGACGAAGACACCAAGCAACAGUGCAGCUAAAGAACUUGCUUGAUGAUUCACAUACAGUCAGGGCAAGACAGAGCUGGGACUCGAGGAGAUGCACAGUAAACACUUUGCAACAGGGCGCUAGAUUGCAAUUAAGAGGUGGGCAACCACCCAUGCCACCCACUAUGAUGGCCCUAUCAGAAGCCAGC